rnacentral:misc_RNA from 1 species
GAACGCACCUUGCGCCCCUUGGUCAUUCCGAAGGGCAUGCCUGUUUGAGUAUCAUGAACACCUCAACUCUUGUGGUUUCCCACAACGAGCUUGGACUGUGGAGGUUUUGUUGGCCCUGUGGUCGGCUCGCUUUAAAAUAAUUAGCUGGAUCCAUUCUGACCUGGUUCUACUCGGCGUAAUAAGUUAUUAUCGUCGAGGACGCCUAGCCUUCUAGGCAGGCGGCCACAGUAAGGGUGUUUGAACCGCUUCCAACACGUCUUGCUCUUGUAGCAAACACUUGAACCUCUGACCUCAAAUCAGGCAGGACUACCCGCUGAACUUCAG